UAAAAUUUAUAAAAUUAGGUAGUAAAGAAAAUUCUGAAACCUAAAGAAUUUGGCGGUAUUUUAAAUAAUUGGAGGAACCUGUUAUUUAAUUGACAAUCCACAACAAAUCUUACCUAAAUUUUAUUUGUAUAUCGUCGUUUUGAUAAUAUUUAAAAAUAAUAAUCAAUUUUAAUAAAUUUUUAAAAUUCAGAUCAAGGUGCAGUAUAUUUAGGUUAUAAUGGGUUACAAUAUAAUUAUAUACAUAAUGGAUAUAAACUUGAAAUUAUAUUGAAGGUGGAUUCAAAAGUAAAAUUAAAUUAAAAAGUUAAUUUGAUUAAUAAUUUAAAAUAUGC
rnacentral:rRNA from 1 species